CCCAAAGGCAGAGGCCGCGGGAAGUCUCCGCCCACGCCUUGGAAUGUAGCCGGGGAGUGUCUGUGACGUCACCGAGGAACUCCUCCUGCCUGAGCGCGGCCCGCUGUCGGCUGUCGCCUACAGCUGACCAAUAGAGGGCUUGGAUCCAGAAGUGAUGGACUGGAGGCUUGACUAAUGUGAAAGGGGCGUCUGAAAGAGAAGCCAGCUGCCAUGCCAUGAACUGCAAUGUGAAAAGGCCAAUGUAGCAAGGAUAUGUCCAGCCAACAGCCAGUGAGGAUCUGAGGCCCUCAGACCAGCAGCCCAUGAGCAACUGAAUUUUGCUAAUAACCACGUAAGUGAACACAGAAGUGGAUCCUUCCCCAGGCGAGCCUUCAUAUGUCCACAGACCCAGUCAAGACUUUGACUGCAGCCUUGUGAGAGCCCCUAAGCCAGAGGACCCAGCUAAGCCACGUUCAACUUCCUGACCUGUCAGUUUGCUCUUACCACUUAAUAAGAGAUCUUGAAAAUCCCCCGUCCUCCAGUGUGGAUUUAAUGCAUUCUUGUUAGCAGCUGACUGGAAAAGGAUGAAGCAUUCUUCAUGUUGAUAAACAGGUUUUACUUCUAGAAACAUCAAUUGUAUGACGCCAGGAUCAUAUGCUUUGCAUGUCUGAAUUUCCCGGGCGCUCUCCUUAGGAGAUUGUUGGCACCGUGUCACAAGAGAGGUUGGUGGAGGCAAGAGGUUCCUUAAAGGAGGACGGAGGACACAGCCAGAAACAAACAGCCCUUUAAUUGAGCUAGAAAAGACCGGAACUUCAAUUUCAGCCGUUUUGGUCACUUCUCCAACACUGCCACCAAGUGGCUAAAGAGGAACAAUGCAACUAGCAAACCCAAAGGGAAAGAUUGCAAGAGCUGGGCAGUCAUAAAACCACCAUGCCUGGCUAAUUUUUUUUAUUUUUAAUAGAGACAGAAUCUCAUUAUGUUGCCCAGGCUGGUUUCGAGCUCCUGGACUGAAGCGAACCUCCUGCCUCAGACUCCCAAAGUACUGGGAUUACAGGUGUGAGCCGCCACUCCUGGCCCGAGCAGUGGUAAAAUAAAACCACAUCUCACAUUCCAGAUUAAUUUGCAACCCUCAGGUGGAGAGAGAGAACAUUUUCAUCAACCUAAAGAGUGCCUUCGUGCUGUUUGCUAGUCAGUGCUUCUCCAGAGGUCAUUGCCUUUCUGGCUUCCAUAGAUCAGAUUUGCCUGGUCUUGAGCAUGAUGCAAAUAGAAUUUUACUGCCUAUACUCCUUGUCUGACUCACGCAUCUGUGAGAUGGGUCCAUGCUGUUGCUUGUACAGCCUAUUCUCAUUAUUUGCAGUAGCUCUGUUCUACAAAAUCAUCACAGACACUGAACCAUUGCUCAUAGGGAAAAUAGGGGUUAGGUUCCUGGGAGACUCUGCUCAUGACAAUUUCAUCAAGCAAUCAGUACAUAUAAAGAAACAAAUGUAUCAAUCUAUGUUUAACGUGUAUCAACUGAUAAACAUGCAGAAACAAAAUAAAAGCAGAUAACCUGGUUUUAUGUGUGUUUCUGUUUAAAGACACCUUGUUAAAUAUAUAUUGGUGAUUCAUUAACGUUGAACUCAUGGCCAACAGCACUGUAAUUCACGACUGAACGAAACUUAUCCAUGCCUAUUUUCCCCAAAAAACACAUCACAGCCUUCUUGCACUUACGAACAUUAGACGGCACUUUACCCUUAUGCUUGGGGCCAUUUUAAACAGCAAAAUCACCAACAAAGCAGCACAAAAAUGAAUUUAAUGCUAUGUUUAGCACUAAAUUGACCACAAAAAUGAUACUUGUUUUACCAUAUGACAGCCAGAACAAGAAGAUAGAACUUGGUCUUGUUUGACCUCACUAGGAUAACAAAUUUUGGCUGCAGUGGGGCACACCAGGAGAUUCAAAUUUCUCACUGUUCUGUGCAGGUCCAAAAAAUGGACCAUAAGAAUACCAUGAGUAUUUUAGGGUGACAAAUAAAUAUUAGCAAGUAGCCAAAUUCUCAAAUACAGAAUCCAUGAAUAAAGAUCAACUGUAUCUGU